GACAGAGGUUGCAAACGUUGUUCGGAAUUACUGGGCAUAAAGCGCGCGUAGGCGGAUCGUUAAGUCGGGGGUGAAAUCCUGGAGCUCAACUCCAGAACUGCCUUCGAUACUGGCGAUCUUGAGUCCGGAAGAGGUGAGUGGAACUCCUAGUGUAGAGGUGGAAUUCGUAGAUAUUAGGAAGAACACCAGUGGCGAAGGCGGCUCACUGGUCCGGUACUGACGCUGAGGCGCGAAAGCGUGGGGAGCAAACAGG
rnacentral:rRNA from 1 species